rnacentral:lncRNA from 1 species
GAACACAAAAUGGCGACACGUGGUUAGCAUUCGUCGCCAACGAGAAAUUGGGGUCGGCCCGAAAGCUCUAGAAUGCACCCCUCUUCCUCCCCGGGGCCUUCCACCUCCGCGAGUUUUAUGACUUAAAAAAGCCCACAGGCUGGUCUGAAGGUCGGAGGCCUAAUUUUAACGCGUUUUCCUCCCUUUAAUUUGAAACGGGAACGCGAAUGACUGUAAAAUAGGAAGACAAACAUAAAGAUGAAGUGCUUAAUUCAAGGUCACACAAUGUCGGGGAUGGACCUCCAGAUUUCCUUACUGGAAAACAAGCUCAGGGCUCCCACUGAUUGUACAUUAUGGUGAGACGUGGUCUUGUAACACAGUGGUUAAGAAUGUGACUUUGGAGCCAGCCUGCUAGGGGCUGAAUUCUGACUCAGCCAUUUACUAACUGUGUGACCUUAGGUCACAGAAUUUUCCACACUCCUUGACAGAGGUGCUUAACCCUUAUCCAUCAGCAUUCUCAGACAGCACCUCCGGUUAGGGACAGUAUCUGACCGUCCGACAUCCCUGCAGCCCCCAUGUGUCACACAGACUCAGCCUCAGGUAGAUGGUUUCCGUAGAUGGUGGCUUUCUUUGGACCCUUGACAUCAACCAGUUACUAUUUGACUCUUCUGCAGAACCCCAUGUUGACCCCUGCUUUGAGGUGGCAGAGUUAACACUACUCUUCGUUAUAAGCUCUCGUCUGGGGCAACUCAGAAGAACGUAAGUUCCAUGGGGAAGGUUUUUGUUUGUUUCUAAUUGUGGUAAAAUAUAUAUAACAUAAAAUCGACCAUUUUAAU